rnacentral:lncRNA from 1 species
UGUAGAAUUUUACUUAGUCUUUAUUUUGACACUUCUCAGGUUGAAUUUUAUAUCCCUCGUUACUAUCAUUAGAUCCUUACAUGUAUUAAAUUUUAUAUUUUUUUGUGAAAUAAAGUAAUUUUAACUAAUGAAGCGAGUUGAACAAAAUAAUAUGACAUGAAACAUGGUAAUAAAAAGGCAAGUUUGGUUUAGUAGACCAUACUUUAUUUAACAAAGUAAGUGGGAAACAAAACAAUACAUAGAUGCAUGUUUCUAGUUUUCAGGGAGGUUCCAAGUUUCUAUAUCCUCAUCCCUUAGGUUUAAUUAUUAUCGUCUUCGUCUCCGUCACCUUCGUCUCCGUCACCAUUGUCUCCGUCGUCGGGAUUUUCUUUAUCGUCUUCGAAGGGUGCCUCACUAUUACCAUUUUCUCCUUCACUAUUAUUGUCUCCUCUUCCCCAUCCCCAUGGUAACCAACCCAAUGCCAAAUCUCUCAAACCUCCCCAAUCUACAUACCUUCUCAUUAAAGUACUAUAUUCGGAUUGCUCAGCUGCCACAAUAGUCAUAAGAAGGGGAACACACAGAAAGAAUACUAAGAUAAAAAAUUUUGUUUUCAUCCUUGCUUAAAUUUCUUAAAGUUUGUUGUAAAAUAUGAAUAAUAUCCUCAAAUAUUUAUAGUGAUCACGCAUGGGAAAAAUAAGAUAAUUUUAAAAGACAAAAACAUAUUGAAGAAAAAUAUAUUGCGUACUAAAAAAAAAGACAAUAUGUAUUCCAUGGCCAAUUGCAAAGACAAUGGGUCAUCAAAAUCCAUAGAGCCAUGGAAAGGUUAAAUAAAUUAGAACAUGUUUGUCUUUUGGAUCAUGAUAAUUUGAGGAUUAAAGAGACGUUUUAUACAAUUAAUCUUUUCUAAAAAGUUGCUUUUGGUUAAAUUGUUUCAGAAAAUAGAAUUUAAAACUAGCGAGUUGUAAAAUUUGGCUUCCUAAUAAAUUUAGGAUAAAAGUGAUGUAAUGUCCAAUUAAUUCUAAAUGAGUGAUUUAUUUUGACUAUUAAAUGUUUUAAUAUUGGAAUAUUAAAUUUUUAGUAUCUAAAAAAUUUUGAAAUUUUAUUUUUAGUACUUAUUAAAAAAAAUUAUAUUUUUUAGUUUCUACAAAAUUGUUAUAUAAGUAGUUUAAUUUAUACCAUAUUGGAACAUCAAUAUAUAUAUAUAUAUAUAUUUGAAUACUUUUUUUUUUUUUGCAUACAUGCUGACAUUAUAAAAAGUUCAACAUAAAAAAUGAUAUCAAAAUUCAAUUUCUAGAUCUAUAUUUUAAAGACUUUUAUCUUAAAUAGACGACGUUUAAUUAAUUCAUCCCAAAUUAAAAAAAAAUUAUAUGAAUUAAUUUUUAAUAAUAUUCUAAACAUGCUUACAAUAUUAUUCAAAUAUUUAAAAGUUGAAGAAUAUUUUAUUUCAUCAGAGACUAAAAUAAUUUGAUUAAUAAUUUUAUAGGAAUUAAAAAAAAUGUAUGCACACAUAAAAAAAUAAAAAAUUAUCAUCUUUAUAUGGGUCUAAGAACACAACUAAAACAAAUCAAACAAUAACUUCUCGUUUUAAUUAUGAGUUAUAUUUGGUAUUUGUAACAUUUUAUUUUAUUUUUACAUCUUACCUUAUUAUGAGUUGAUAUAAUUAUUCUAUAAAUUAUUGGUGAUAAUUAUUAUUGUAAUGUGUUAUUUUAAUUUUUAAUAAUAAUAAUAAUAAUAAUAAUAAUAAUAAUAAUAAUAAUAAUAAAAGGGAAUCGUUAAAAACAAAUUUCAUGAUUUAGAGGCUGUAAAUACACGUUUCCCAUUUAAUAUCACGUUUUCCAUUUAAUACCCUCCCCUUUAAUACACAUCCCCAUUUAAUAGCACACGUUACCCACUUCUAAUGAUAAAAAAUGAAUAAAACAAAACAUAAAAAGAAAUAAAACAAAAAUGGGUUUAAGAGAGAAAAAGAAAUAAAUUCAAGAACUAAAUGAGUUACUGAUUCAUCCCUUAAGUAUAGCACAUUUGGAGCAAAGACUUGGGUGAGAAUUUUAAUAACGCCACUCAUAUCGAUAAGGGCGUGACUCCAUCCGCUUUUCUAAUUGAAUUAUUGUUUGUGUGUUAUAUUCAAAAUGAAUAUUAAUAAUUAUUGUGUUUGACAUGUUCAAAAUGUGGAAAAUAAAUGUUAUGUGAUAUGUUGUUAUAAUGGUUGUGUUGAGCAUAUUCAAAGUGUGAAGAAUAAAUGUUAUGUGAUAUGUUGUUAUAAUGGUUGUGUUGAACAUAUUCAAAGUGUGGAAAAUAAAUGUUAUGUGAUAUGGUGUUAUAAUGUUAUGUCGAACAUAUCCAAAGUGUGAGGAAUAAAUGUUAUGUGAUGUGUCGUUGAUAAGUUAGUAUCCCAUUAUAUUUUAUUAGAGUGUACACGAAGCCCUUGCGGGGGGAAGCGAUAUUCCAGAAUCAUUACAUUGGCAUAUAUAAAUUAAGUAAUAAGGUUUGUUGGAUAUGCAUUAAUUAAAGUGUAGUGUGACUAGUGUUUUGUAACGAUAACUGAUACAUUGUAUCUUCUGGUUUUGGAUGAAUUAACUUUAUAAAAAAUGUGAUAUUGUAUCUCCUGGUUUUAAGUGAAUUAACGUUAUUAAAUAUGUGAUAGUGUACUUCUAUAUCUUAUUAUUAAUUAGGUAGAUAUGAUAAUAUUAUAUUUGUAUUGUCAAUGUGGUUAGUCGUUUGAGUGAAUUAAUGUUAUUAAUUAUGCAAACAUUGUACUGUUAUCUUUUCAUUGUUGUUAUAUCUUUAAUGCGUUGUGAUUUUUAAUUGUUAAAUGGAGUACAUGAUUUAUUUAUAUUUUUGCUAUAACAACUAUAUAUGCAUGCAUAUUUGCUAUGUGUUUGUUAUUUUGAGAUGACCCUUAUAUUUGAUAGGACGUUAUAUAGUGCUAUGUGUUUGUUAUAUUUUCAUUGUUAUUAUACCUUUGGGUGCGUUUUGAUUUUUAACUAUUAAAUGAAGUACAUGAUUUAUUUAUAUUUUUGCUACAACAACUAUAUAUGCAUGCAUAUUUGCUAUGUGUUUGUUAUUCGGAGUUGACCCUUACAUUUGACAGACUUGUUGGGUUAGUUUACCAAAAGUCCAAAGUUUAUGACCAACUGGAUUUAUGUUUGGGUAGUAAAAUAUCAAUAGUUUUGGCUAUAGGAGUCUCUUUUGUUUAACAUAUUAAAUUUACAUUGUAAAUAUUUUGAUUCUUUAUUUUCGAAAAUAUAACUAAAAAUAUUAUUAAUUGAUUUUAAGAUAAAUGAGUAUUUAAAAUAAUUAUAAAUAAAUAAAAGCAAAUUUGUAUUUUUACGUAUAGAAUUCCGUUAGUUAAUGUCCCGAAAAAGCGGGAUGUUACAGUGUUGGUUAGCAUCCUUCUAAUCAGCUGUUGGGGAAUUCCUUGUGCCUUCAUUUUAUUGAAUGGAUUUUUCUUUGUCCGAAGAAGAACAAACCAUUGUGGAGUGUUUGCCGUUAUAAACAAUUAUUAAAAUAGAGUAAUAUUAAUGGAAAUGCACAAUUGCUCCUGCGAUCCCUUAACUUAAUUUUAGAUAACACUUUAAUUUUUUUUAAAUGGUCUUUUAUUUAAUAUUAUUACAAAAAUUCGAAAAUAUAAAGAAUGAAAAUAUGAGUUUAUUUAAAGAUUUAAGUUAUUUCAUCGACGUUGUUUCCAUAAACUAUGAUCUCAUCAACAUAUAUCACUAAGGCAGUAAAGGACGAGCAAAUGGAUUUAAUGAAUAAAGAAUGAUAUGAAUUAGAUUGAGUAUACUCUUUUGAAAUGAGAGUGGAGGAAAGUCUAGCAAACCAUUGCUUACUAGACUAUUUUAAACCAUAAAGAGGUUUUUGAAGUUUACAAACAAUAUUUGGAUUAUGAGCCAAUAACCCAAGGAACAAUUGCAUAUAGACUUCCUCUUCUAAAUUGCCAUGUAAAAAAGCAUUGUAAACGUCUAACUUAUGAAAAUGUCAAUUAUGAGAUGAUACAAGAGCAAGUAAGAGUCUUACGAUAAUGAGCUUAGCUAAAGUGAAUAAGUAUCAAAAUAAUCAAUUCCUUCAAUUUGGUUAAAACAUUUGGCAACAAGGCGUGCCUUAUAAUGUAUUAUAGAACCGUAAGCGUUAUAUUUUACCUUAUAAACCCAUCGACAACCUAAGGGCUUUUUAACACGUGGCAACUUAGUAAGAGUCCAAGUGUUGACUGAUCGAGGGUUGUUAGAUGAGAUUGCAUGGUCUGAACCUAAUUAUUAUAUGUGACAACUUGUUUAAAGCUAGUAGGGUCACGAACAACAGAAAUAAAGGAAAUAAAAUGAUAGAAAAAAAUAUGACAAUUUUGACUAAGAUAAGACCUGGUAUAAAUGAUACAAUAUAUUGGACUUAUGGCACCUAUCAUGUGCAAAAUUUCACUCAAAAUCUUGUAAGUAAGCAGGGACCUUGUUAGACCUUGAAGACCUACGAAUAGUAUCUUGAUGCUCAUCAAAAUCAAAGAUAGGGGAAGUAUGUAAAUUGUUAGGACUAGUAUCAAGACUAGAUGAAGGAGUUGGAGCAAAUAUAAUACUAUCAUCAGUGGAGUUAUUAACAUAAACAAUUAUUAGGCUAAAGCAUAUUAGUAUCAUCAAACAGAAUAAAGGAAUCACCAGAAUCAUCAUUAAUAUGCAAGGAAGUAGAAUUAAGAUUAACAUAUGGAAAAACAUGUUCAUAAAAAUCUACAUUCCUAGAAACAAAGGUGACAUGGGUAUGUAAAUCAAACAUCAAUUAACCUUUAGUUCCUUAUCUAAAUCCAAGGAAAAUACACUUGGGGGCCCUUUGAUAAAGUUUAGUUCUAUGAUAUAGCAAAGUGGAAGCAUAAGCAAGACAUCAAAAAACCUUUAAAUACAUAAAGUUAGGAGAUUGUUUAUAUAACAUUUCGAAAGGGGUCUUAUUAUGUAAAACAGGAGGUAGUUAACCUGUUAAUAAGAACAACAUGAUUAAUAGCAAAAGACAAAAAAUUCUUUGGUAGUUUAGAGUGGAAAAUAAGUGAUCUAGUCACAUUAAGAAGAUGAGGAUGUUUCCUUUCAACAAUUAAGUUUUAUUGGGGUGUCUCAACACAAGAGGUUUGAUGCAAUAUGCUCACACUAGAAUAAAAAAGAGGCAUAUUGAAUUCAAGACCAUUAUCAUUGCUAAUUUUCUAGACUUUUGUAUGGAAUUGUGUUCUAACAAAGGAAACAAAGUUUUGAAGGAGCAUACGAGUUUCAGAUUUAGCAUUCAUUAAAAAUAACCAAGAAAAUCAUGAAUAAUCGUCAACAAUAGUUGGAUAAUAUUGAUGACCCUCAAAAGAAGGAACAUUAAUAGGUCCUCAAAUAUCAACAUGUAUAAGGCUAAAAAUAUGUAAAGAAACAUUUUCACUACGGGGAAAAGGGAUUUUAGCAUUUUUUGCCCAAAUAAAAAGAGUCACAAAUUAUAUUUUUAUUAACUGAAAUGUAAGAAAAUCGUUUACACGUUUGUUGUAACAGGGUUAUUGAUGGAUGGACCUAACCUAAAAUGUAAAACAUCAAAUUUAUUUGGUAUAGUGGCAUUAACAAAGGUAGUAUAAUGGUCAUUAGAAACAAGAGCAAAAUCAGUAGAAAAAACCAUAGCAGAGGUAUAAUAUGAUCAAGAAUAUACAGGCUAUUACAAUGCUCCACAUGUCAAAUCGUCUUAUGGGUAUGCAAAUCCUGAAUUGUAUAAAAAUUCUUAGAAAAUAAUAGUUUGUAAUUCAAAUCAAGAGUGAGUUUUGAAAUAGAUAUUAAACUAAAAUUGAAUUGAUGAAUAAACAACCUAUUUUUCAAGUAAAGAUCAGAAGUAAAGUAAAAAUCUUCUAAAAAAUGCGCAAGAAUAAACGACCCAUUUGAAAAAAUAAUAAAAAUUGGUUCAAUUUGUUUCAUUGAAUAAAAACAUUUGAUAAAUGGACCAACAUGAUCUGAAGCCCCCGAAUCCAUAAUCCAUAGAGAAAAAGGAAUAGAUACGAAACUUGUAUUAGAAAUACUUGAUACUACGUGAUUGGAUUGAUCUGAAAUAGAAUUCUUGGUUUUGAAAGAAGUUACAUCAUCAUAUUUAGAAUUGUGUAGCAGAUUAAUCAUAAUAUUAUAAUAUGUUUUGCUAAGAUGAUUGUUGAUUGUUGGAAUCGUGUUGCUGUGUAGGCUAGGAGAGAGAAGGAUUCUUGGAACCAUUUAUUGAAGACGAAUUCAAAGAUUGUUUUUUAGGAUAAGUUAGUUGAAAGCCAUGUUUGAAAUAACAUAUGUCUACAAUGUGAUUAUUCUUAUGGCAUCGAGUAUAAAACAUGGAGGGCCGAGGCUGACCACGACGAUGAUGGUAUUGCCCGCGACCUUGACCUGAAUUUUUGGAAGUAUUGAUAUUAAAAACAACAUAAGUAUCAGGAGGAUUAUGGUUCGAAUUGGGGACCAGGUCUUAUUGAAAAACGAAAGAAUACACCUUGUUAAUAUAAGGUAAAGGAUCCAUGAAUAAAAUCUGUGUGUGAAUGUUAUUGUAAUUUUUAUUCAAACCUUUAAGAAAACAAGUGAUAUACUCUUGAUGCUUGAAAUAAUGAACUGUUGUGCUGAGCUUGCAAGAACGAGGAAUAGGGCAUAUGCAUGAUUGUGUUGGGCACAAAUCCUCCAAUUCACCCCAAAGAAUCUUCACAUUGGUGAAAUAGGUAGACAAAGAAUGUUCACCUUGUUUGAUUGAAUGAAGAUCACGAAUUAGAUUGGAAAAUCGAAAAUUAUUUCCUUGAAUGAAACGAUCACGAAGAUCAUACCAUAACUCUAAUGCUGAAUCAAUGCAAAUGGAGAACGUUAAAAACUCAAUAUUGAUUUUGGUUGUGAAAACGGAGAACAUCCUUGGUUCUGGAAACAUAAAAUGGAGAACAUUCUAGGUUAAUUAAAAUCAAUAGUUUAGUUUAUAUGUUUAACUUGAUAAACAAAAGGACUGAAAGUAAAUAGAGAUAAGAGGAUAGAUAUCACACAAUGAUAUAUCUUAGUUCACCUAACUCGGGCUAUGUUCAGUCCUUACAAUUGUGAUAUUUUCCACUAAGCAUUCCAAUGGAGAACGUUCUUAGUUUUACACAGUUUUGUUCAGAUUAACCUUGAUAUGUAACAACAAUUCAUUUUCACUUAGAAAGGAUUCAAUUAGGUCACUUAUCAAUCUUUAGAGAGGAUUUUACAAUUCACCUUUUAACCAUAAAAAUGAUUUUCUACAAACUAUAAACAACUAUUAUAGUCUUGAGUUUACACAAUAAUGAUUUAAAGAGAUUGGUAGAAUCUGACUAUGUUUAAAUCGUGUUUGAGAAUACAUUCUUGAUAAAAGAAAUCAAUAUAACGGUUCUGAUAUUUAAAGAAGAAAACAUAACUUAAUCUUUUGCUUAUGAUUGAGAAGCUUUCAAGUAUAUAAGUGUAUGUAAGUGAUGGAUUUCUUAACACUUGAAGUUCUAUUUUUCCUUGAACUUGAGGUUCUUUUUAUAGGCUUCAAGGAGGAUGAUGACAACUACUUUGACCUUUGGAAAAUAUCUAGCUGUCAUGUGUCAGAUUUGACAAAAUUCCAUAACUUUUAAACCAUGAAUGUUUCUUGACUAGCUUCUCAUUCUUGACCGUGAUUCAUGGUCUUUUAUGCUCAUAGACAUCUCAAAGAUGUGUUUAAUGUAUUAAGAUCGAGAAUGUCUUUGGUUCGAUCAAAACAAGCUAGAGAAGGAUGUACACAUGUUGGAGAUUGAUUGUUAAUAUGCUGGAUAAUGAUGUUAUUUGUAACAUCCCGCGGUUUCGAGACAUUAACUAACAAAAUUCUAAACGUAAAAAUACAAAUUCGUUUUUAUUUAUUUAUGAUUAUCUUAAAUACUCAUUUACCUUAAUAUCAAUUAAUAAUAUUUUUAGUUAUAUUUUCAAAAAUAAUGAAUCAAAGUAUUUACAAUCACUAAAAGUAAAUUUAAUACAUUAAACAAAAGAAACUCAUAGAGGCAAAACUAUUGAUGUUUUACUACCCAAGCAUAAAUCCUAGUUGGUAAUAAACUUUGGAGUUGUGGAAAACUCACCCAAUAAAUCUAACACACCACACAUCUAUAUAUGAAUGAACGCAUGUGGACACUUUAAUAAAUCAUUAAUAUAAUGCAAGGUUAACUUAUUAACGGACAUAACAUUUAUUCUUCACACUUUGAAUAUGUUCAACACACCCAUUAUAACAACAUAUCACAUAACAUUAUUUUUCACACUUUGAAUAUGUUCAACAUAACCAUUAUAAUAACAUAUCACACCAUAUUUAUUUUCUACAAUUUGAUAAAAAAAAACAUUUCAACAUAGUAUAUAUUUAAUCUAACAAAUUUAUGAAUAAACACAAUCAUACAUAAAUAUAAUUGGAGUGAUGGCCUUACCGAUUUGAGUGUCGUUGCUCCAAAUGUGCUACAUUUGAGCUAUGAAUCACUAACUCAUUUAGUUCUUGUAUUUCUUCCUUUACCUCUCUUAAACCAGCAUUUUUGAAUGGAAGACGUCAUUGUUGUUUAGUUCCUUAUUAUCGUUAGAAGUGGGGAACUUGGUAUUAAAUGGGGAGCGUGGUAUUCCAGCAUAAGCCAUCAAAUUUAUUUUUAAUUAAUGGUUCCCUUUUAUUAUUAUUAUUAUUAUUAUUAUUAUUAUUAUUAUUAUUAUUAUUAUUAUUAUUGUUAUUAUUAUUAUUGUUAUUAUUAUUAUUAAUAUUAAUAUUAUUACCAAAAAUCAAAAUAACACAAUACAAUAGUAAUUAUCACCAACAAAUUCCUAGAAUAAUUAUCUCAAAUUCUAAUAAGGUAAAAUAUAAAAAUUAAAUAAAAUGUCUAGAUGUUAUAUGUUAGAGAGUCAAACAUUUGUGAUAACUUUCCACGAAUAUAUCAAACGUGUCAUGUAACACCCCAAAUUUUAUAAUAAACUAUUUUAUUAAUUAAAUAAGAUUUUAAAUAAUUAAUUUGACGUUAAACUUAUUUUAUAAUAUAUGUUGAUUUUCGUGCUAGUUUUGAGAUAAUUUCUACGAUGUGCUAGUUUUAUAAAUAUUAUAUUAAAUGAGCGAUAUAAAUAAUAAAUAUUAUAUUUUAUUAUUUGAUUUUUUUUUAAAAUAAUAGUAUUUUAGUGUAAUAUUUUAAAGAAAAAGAUUUUAUGCGAUUUUAUGUGUAUAUACCUGUACUCAAUUAAUGUAAUAUUUUUCUGUGCGCUUGAAUGAUGUUAAGUACGCACGUAGUUAUAUUUUAAUUAUUUAUAACUAUUUUCUAUUUUUAGUUAUUUAUUUUAUAAAUAAUUAUCUUGAGAUAGUAGUAAAUUGUAUUUAAUCUUGAUUUUUAUAUACUUGUUAUGGCAUUAUGAUUUUAUAUUUAUUUAUUUUAUAAUUUUAAAUAUUUUCUAACGUAGUAAUUUAAUGUAAGUAUUUGAAAAAAUAAGUAUAAUUAUAGUGAUUAAUUUGAAUAUGAGAGUUUUGGUUAUGAAUAUAUUUUAAAAUAAUAAUUAUUUUAUUUUAUAAAUUAUUAGUUUUGAAAUAUUAAUAAUAUUUUACUAAUAAAAUUAUGUUUUAUAAAUUCAUACACACUAUGUUUUUUAUUAUACCAUAGAACUUGUCAUAAAUUUUUUAAUUUUCAUUGCCUCUAAUAAAAUUUAGAAAAAUUCUAUUGAACAUUCAUUAAUCUGACAUCUACUAAUACAUUUGAUAGUUAAUUCUAUUGAACAUUUAUUUAUUAAUCUGACAUCUACUAAUACAUUUGAUAGUUAAGUUAAUAGUUAAAUAAUUUUUUUUUGAAUCAAAACUAUUUUUAUUAUUUAGCAAAUCAUAAUCACUAAAAGUUAUUUAUCAAAAUUGUCGGCAAAAUAAAAAUUAAUUUUUUUCAUUGAAUUUUUAUAACUCAUAAUAAUGAGUAUUUAAUAUUUUUUACAAUAUAAUGUAAAAACUUAAUUUAAUGCUUAUAAUAAUGAACUAAUUGUUUUUCUUAUAAAAUAAUUUUUCCUAAAAUAUAAAAGUGAAUAAAUAGCUCUUUGAUUAAUAAAAAUGAUCGUUAAUUAUUAAUUUAAAGAACAAAUAUUUUGUGUGUGGUGUAUUAUAAAAGUUAUAUCAAUUUUGAUAAUGUUAAAUUGUAAACACAUAUUACAUAAUCAUUUAGAAAAUAAUACAAACUACAUAUAAAAUUAUAAUGAAAAUGUAUACAAAGAAAAAAUGAUAUAUAACUCACCCUUUUCGGUAUUAGAGGAAGUCUCCAUUAAGUCCCUAGCUGAGACCUCAAAGGAGAUCAUAAGAACCAUAGCCAAAAGGCCAAGGAUGAGGGUUGUUUUUUUUCAAAUCCAUUGUUCAAUAUUUGGUAGUCAAAUUAAGAUGAGAAAAAUGGUAAGAAAGUGUAGUCUAUAUAUAGUGGAGGGAGAGGUUGAGAAAAAUUGUUUAAUAUGUGUCAAAUAUUGAGUAAAUAUAAUGUGUGAAAUCAUCAAAAAUGAUAUUUAUAUGGACAGAAAGAAUAUUAACCAACAAAUUUUAUCUCCCCAAUUGAUUUUUUUUAUCAAAAAAAAAAAAUUAUAAUAUUAGAUUUAUUAAUAGUGUAUAUUUUUCCAUGUUUACAUUUCGAUAAUUUAUAUUUUUUAUGAUUGUAUUUAUUUUUGGUAAAAAAAAAUGUAAUAUAUAUCUAAUAUUGAAAAUUUGAAAGAAUUCUGUUACGAAAAUAAAUUGUAUAGAAAAUCCAUCCUUCUAUAUCUAGAGUUAUUUUUGGACUUUUUCUAUAAUUAGGGAUGAAGCCAUAAGUACUAAGUAGUAGUUGUCACUGCCCCUAAUUGAGAUUGAAGCAUUAAAUGUGAUAACAUAGUUGUGAGAAGAAAUCAAAAUACUGGGCAGGUGGAAAUAAACGGUCUGUAGGUUACUUUUUUUUUAUCCCACAAUGAAUGUUACUUUCUCAUUCCACAUAUUAGACAUAUUAAGAAAUGACAAUUAAUAAAUGGAAGAGAAUAGUAAAUUAAUUUACAAAAUUAUCUAUGCGGACAAUUGGUAUGUUUCUCACUAUCACUAUUAUAAAUGUAAAAUGAAAUGUGUAUUUUGGAAAUAGUGUACAUGCAUAUAGUAUUGAUUAGAAGAUAAAAUUAAAAAAAAUAAUUAAUCUUACAUUGAAAACUGAUAAAUAAUAUUUAUUUUAUAAUGAAUUUUAUUUGUUAAAGUGAUACUGAGAGAGUAAUUUAUUCUACAUUCUAUAUAUGGUAAAAAGUAUUGUUUUCUCUAUUUCAUUAAUACAUUUAUUUUAUAAUAUGUAAAAUGAUCAAAAAGGUCAUCACUCAUUGUGGAAUGAAGUGAUUAAUUUUAUAAAAAUGUCAUAGAUAAAUUAUUAGGGGUGCAACAAGACAAUCAAUAUCACCAAAUGAAUGUGUUAUUAUUUUAAUUUUCAAUAAAAAAUUAAUUGUUGUUUUUUAAGUUUAUUUUUAAAUUAAUAUAAUAUACCUUAUUCUUAAGUUACAAUGAGAAAAUAAUGUUACAAUGAGAAAAUAAUAUCUAAUGGUUGGGUGAUGAGUACUAAAUGACAUAAACUAAUUUUCUUGCCUAAAACAAACAUGACAAUUUUAGUGAUAAAAAUUAAUGUAGCGAGUUGAACAAAAUAAUAUGACAUGAAACAUGAUAAUAAAAAGGCAAGUUUAAGUGAAAGAUGGUUCAUCAUAUAACAAAAGACAGGGGCGGAGCUUCCUUGGGACUAAGGGGGGCCGCGCCACCCCAAAAAAAAAAAAUUAUAAGUACAAUGACUAAAAUGUCCAUUUUAAAAUUAAAAAAUUACAAAACAUACCUAAACCUAAUUCAGUUUUCUGUUUAUUUCUCUCUCUUCCAUCCAGCCUUCCUCUCUCCCUCUCUCUCUUUUGCUUACAAGUUCCAGCCUUCCUCUCUCCCUCCUCCAUAAUCAGAUUCAUGAAUCAAGACAAACGUGCGGUCGUCUCUCUACGACAAUCGCUCGUCUGCUCGCUCACGAAAUCGCUCGCUGCGGCCAAUCGUUCGUCUGCCUGACUGCCUCUGUCCGUGGCCAUUCGUCGCUGCCUCUCUACUCGCCGCAACCUCAUCAGUCAUCUGUCUCUAGAUCUUGUUGCUGCUUUGUUCAAAAUGUUCGAAUUUCUAUUUUGUUAUUGCUGAUUUUUGUUAGUUAGUGUCGAUUUUUGUUAGGUUUGAUAUUUUUUAGCAUAAAAUUUAAAACUUAUAUUGUUAUUGUUGAGUUUAGAGUUUUGAUUUGGAGUUUGAAAUUUUGAUUUGGAGUUUUAAUUAGCAGAUUUUUGUUUAGAGUUUUUGUGUUGCACAUAAGGUGUUUGAAUUUAUGUCAGUAUAAAGUGUUUGAGUUUUUUUUUGUCUCACAUAAGGUGUUUGAUUUUAUGUGUUUGAUUUUUUUUUUUGCAUACAAAGUGUUUGAGUUUUGUUGCAUUUUUGUUUGAGUUUUUUUGUCUAUAUAAAGUGUUUUAUUUAUUUUUUUUGAAUAUAAGAUGUUUUAUGUUUAUUAAAUUGAUUGAUUUAGAUAAGUUUGUGAGAAUGAAGAAGAGUAGAAGAAUUGAUUAUUUUUUCAUGAGGAAAAUUUGUGAGAGUGAAUUAUGUCAGCCACUCCAAAUUUUUCAGUCAAGUUCCGCCAUUGACAAUAGAUCAUACUUUAUUUAAUAUAGUAAGUGGGAAACAAAAUAAUUCAUAGAUGCAUGUUUCUAGUUUUCAUGGAGAUUCCAUGUUUCAAUGUCCUCUUUUCCUAGGUUUAUUACCAUUUUCUCCUUCACCUUUGUCUCCGUUAUCGUGGUUUCCUCCAUUGUCGUCUUCUUCAACGGGUGGCUCACUAUCGUGGUAUCCCAUGCCACCAAAGUUGUAUAUCAUGCUCUGUACCCAUUCUGAUGCCCAACCCAAUGCCAAAUCUCUCAAAGUUCUCCAAUCUACAAACCUUCUUAUUAAAGUACUAUAUUCGGAUUGCUCAGCUGCCACAAUAGUCAUAAGAAGGGGAACACAUAGAAAGAAUACUAAGAUAAAAAAUUUUGUUUUCAUCCCUUGCUUAAAUUUCUUAAAGUUUCUUGUAAAAUAUGAAUAAUAUCCUCAAAUAUUUAUAGUGAUCACGCAUAGAAAAAAUAAGAUAAUUUUAAAAGACAAAAACAUAUUGAAGAAAAUUAUAUUGCGUACUAAAAAAAAAGACAAUAUGUAUUCUAUGGCCAAUUGCGAAGACAAUGGGUCAUCAAGAUCCAUAGAGCCAUGGAAAAGUUAAAUAAAUUAGAACAUGUUUGCCUUUUGGAUCAUGAUAAUUUGACGAUCAAAGAGACGUUUUAUCCAAUUAAUCUUUUCUAAAAAGUUGCUUUUGGUAAAAUUGUUUCAGAAAAUAGAAUUUAAAACUAGGGAGUUGUAAAAUUUGACUUCCUAAUAAAUUUAGGAUUAAAGUGAUGUAAUGUCCAAUUAAUUCUAAAUGAAUGAUUUAUUUUGACUAUUAAAUGUUUUAAUAUUGGAAUAUUAAAUUUUUAGUAUCUAAAAAAUUUUGAAAUUUUAAUUUUAGUACUUAUUAAAAAAAAUUAUAUUUUUUAGUUUCUACAAAAUUGUUAUGUAAACAGUUUAAUUUAUACCAUAUUGGAACAUCAAUAUAAAUAUUUAAAUACUUUUUUUUUUGCAUACAUGCUGACAUUAUAAAAAGUUCAACAUAAAAAAUGAUAUCAAAAUUCAAUUUCUAGAUCUAUAUUUUAAAGACUUUUAUCUUAAAUAGACGACGUUUAAUUAAUUCAUCCCAAAUUAAAAAAAAAUUAUAUGAAUUAAUUUUUAAUAAUAUUCUAAACAUGCUUACAAUAUUAUUCAAAUAUUUAAAAGUUGAAGAAUAUUUUAUUUCAUCAGAGACUAAAAUAAUUUGAUUAAUAAUUUUAUAGGAAUUAAAAAAAAUGUAUGCAUACAUAAAAAAAUAAAAAAUUAUCAUCUUGGUUCUAAGAACACAACUAAAACAAAUCAAACGAUAACUUCUCGUUUUGAUUAUGAGUUAUAUUUGGUAUUUGUAAUAUUUUAUUUUAUUUUUACAUCUUACCUUAUUAUGAGUUGAUAUAAUUAUUCUGUAAAUUAUUGGUGAUAAUUAUUAUUGUAAUGUGUUAUUUUAAUUUUUAAUAAUAAUAAUAAUAAUAAUAAUAAUAAUAAUAAAAAAGGGAAUCGUUAAAAACAAAUUUCAGACGCUGGAAAUACACGUUUCCCAUUUAAUAUCACGUUUUCUAUUUAAUACCAUCCCUUUAAUACACGUCCCCAUAUAAUAACACACGUUACCCACUUCUAAUGAUAAAAAAGGAAUAAAACAAAACAUAAAAAGAAAUAAAACAAAAACGGGUUUCAGGGAGAAAAAGAAAGAAAUUCAAGAACUAAAUGAGUUACUGAUUCAUCCCUCAAGUAUAACACAUUUGAAGCAAAGACCACUGCGUGAAAAUUUUAAUUACGACACUCAUAUUGAUAAGGGGCAUGACUCCAUCCGCUUUUCUAAUUGAAUUAUUGUUUGUGUGUUAUAUUCGAAAUGAAUAUUAAUAAUUGUUGUGUUUGACAUGUUCAAAAUGUGGAAAAUAAAUGUUAUGUGAUAUGUUGUUAUAAUGGUUGUGUUGAGCAUAUUCAUAGUGUGAAGAAUAAAUGUUAUGUGAUAUGUUGUUAUAAUGGUUGUGUUGAACAUAUUUAAAGUGUGGAAAAUAAAUGUUAUGUGAUAUGGUGUUAUAAUGUUGUGUUAAACAUAUUCAAAGUGUGAAGAAUAAAUGUUAUGUGAUGUGUCGUUGAUAAGUUAGUAUCGCAUUAUAUUUUAUUAGAGUGUACACGAAGCCCUUGCGGGGGAAGCGAUAUUUCGGAAUCAUUAUAUAGAUUAAGUAAUAAGGUUUGUUGGAUAUGCAUUAAUUAAACUGUAGUGUGACUAGUGUUUUGUAAAGAUAACUGAUACAUUGUAUCUCCUGGUUUUUGUGAAUUAAAGUUAUAAAAAAUGUGAUAUUGUAUCUCCUGGUUUUGAGUGAAUUAACGUUAUUAAAUAUGUGAUAGUGUACUUCUAUAUCUUAUUAUUAAUUAGGUAGAUAUGGUAAUGUUAUAUUUGUAUUGUCAAUGUGGUUAGUCGUUUGAGUGAAUUAAUGUUAUUAAUUAUGCAAACAUUGUACUGUUAUCUUUUCAUUGUUAUUAUAUCUUUAAUGCGUUGUGAUUUUUAAUUGUUAAAUGGAGUACAUGAUUUACUUAUAUUUUUGCUAUAACAACUAUAUAUGCAUGCAUAUUUGCUAUGUGUUUGUUAUUUUGAGAUGACCCUUAUAUUUGACAGGACGUUACAUAUAGUGCUAUGUGUUUGUUAUAUUUUCAUUGUUAUUAUACCUAUUGGUGCGUUUUGAUUUUUAACUGUUAAAUGAAGUACAUGAUUUAUUUAUAUUUUUGCUAUGAUAUCUCUAUAUGCAUGCAUAUUUGCUAUGUGUUUGUUAUUUGGAGUUGACCCUUACAUUUGACAGACUUGUUGGGUUAGCUUACCAAAAGUCCGAAGUUUAUGACCAACUGAAUUUAUGCUUGGGUAGUAAAAUAUCAACAGUUUUGGCUAUAGGAGUCUCUUUUGUUUAAUAUAUUAAAUUUAAAUUGUAAAUAUUUUGAUUCUUUAUUUUUGAAAAUAUAACUAAAAAUAUUAUUAAAUGAUUUUAAGAUAAAUGAGUAUUUAAAAUAAUUACAAAUGAAUAAAAGCAAAUUUGUAUUUUUACGUAUAGAAUUUUGUUAGUUAAUGUCCCGAAAAAGCAGGAUGUUAGUCUUGGUUAGCAUCCUUCUAAUCUGCUGUUGGGGAAUUCCUUGUGCCUUCAUUUUAUUGAAUGGAUUUUUCUUUGUCCGAAGAAGAACAAACCAUUGUUGAGUGUUUGCCGUUAUAACCAAUUAUUAAAAUAGAGUAAUAUUAAUGGAAAUGCACAAUUGCUCCUGCGAUCCCUUAACUUAAUUUUAGAUAACACUUUAAUUUUUUUUAAUUGGUCUUUUAUUUAAUAUUAUUACAAAAAUUCGAAAAUAUAAAGAAUGAAAAUAUGAGUUUAUUUAAAGAUUUAAGAUAUUUCAUCGACGUUGUUUCCAUAAAUUAUGAUCUCAUCAACAUAUAUCACUAAGGCAGUAAAGGACGAGCAAAUGGAUUUAAUGAAUAAAGAAUGAUAUGAAUUAGAUUGAGUAUACUCUUUUGAAAUGAGAGUGGAGGAAAGUCUAGCAAACCAUUGCUUACUAGACUAUUUUAAACCAUAAAGAGGUUUUUGAAGUUUACAAACAAUAUUUGGAUUAUGAGCCAAUAACCCAAGUAACAAUUGCAUAUAGACUUCCUCUUCUAAAUUGCCAUGUAAAAAAGCAUUGUAAACGUCUAACUUAUGAAAAUGUCAAUUAUGAGAUGAUACAAGAGCAAGUAAGAGUCUUACGAUAAUGAGCUUAGCUAAAGUGAAUAAGUAUCAAAAUAAUCAAUUCCUUCAAUUUGGUUAAAACAUUUGGCAACAAGGCGUGCCUUAUAAUGUAUUAUAGAACCAUCAGCGUUAUAUUUUACCUUAUAAACCCAUCGACAACCUAAGGGCUUUUUAACACGUGGCAACUUAGUAAGAGUCCAAGUGUUGACUGAUAGAUUGCAUGGUCUGAACCUAAUUAUUAUAUGUGACAACUUGUUUAAAGCUAGUAGGGUCACGAACAACAGAAAUAAAGGAAAUAAAAUGAUAGAAAAAUUAUGACAAUUUUGACUAAGAUAAGACCUGGUAUAAACGAACAACAGAAAUAAAGGAAAUAAAAUGAUAGAAAAAAUAUGACAAUUUUGACUAAGAUAAGACCUGGUAUAAAUGAUACAAUAUAUUGGACUUAUGGCACCUAUCAUGUGCAAAAUUUCACUCAAAAUCUUGUAAGUAAGCAGGGACCUUGUUAGACCUUGAAGACCUACGAAUAGUAUCUUGAUGCUCAUCAAAAUCAAAGAUAGGGGAAGUAUGUAAAUUGUUGGGACUAGUAUCAAGACUAGAUGAAGGAGUUGGAGCAAAUAUAAUACUAUCAUCAGUGGAGUUAUUAACAUAAACAAUUAUUAGGCAAAAGCAUAUUAGUAUCAUCAAACAGAAUAAAGGAAUCGUGAGAAUCAUCAUUAAUAUGCAAGGAAGUAGAAUUAAGAUUAACAUAUGGAAAAACAUAUUCAUAAAAAUCUACAUUCCUAGAAACAAAGGUGACAUGGGUAUGUAAAUCAAACAUCAAAUAACUUUUAGUUCCUUAUCUAAAUCCAAGGAAAAUACACUUGGUGGCCCUUGGAUAAAGUUUAGUGCUAUAAUCACUACGCGAAAAAACGCAUUUUACAGCGCUUUUUUUAAGCCAUUUACAGCGCUUUUUCAAAAAAAUAAGCGCUGUGGAAACGAGCGCUGUAAAUGAUACAACAACGCUUUUAAAAAAGCGCUAUAAAACAUGUAAAUACAACGCGCGCUUGUUAUGCACAUUUUACAGUGCUUCUUCACAAAAAGCGCUGUAAUAUGCACCCCAUUAUAUGAGUUAUGGGUGUUCAUUUUACAGCAAAGCGCUCUAAAAUGCACACCCAUAACUCAUAUAAUGGGGGGCAUAUUACAGCGCUUUCUCAAACAAGCGUUGUAAUAUGCCCAACCAUAAUUUCAUAUAUGGGUGGGCAUAUUACAGCGCUUUUUUGAGAAAGCGCUGUAAAAUGCCCACCCAUAAUUUCAUAUAUGGGUGUGCAUAUUACAGCGCUUUCUCAAAAAAGCGCUGUAAAAUGCCCACCCAUAAUUUCAUAUUAUGGGUCUGCAUUUUACAGCGCUUUUCUUGUACAUUUUACAGCGCUUUCUCACGAAAGCGCUGUAAAAGGUGCACCAUUAAAGCGCUUUAGAACAACAUUUUACAGUGCUUUGUAAAAAAAGCGCUGUAAAAUGUGUGUUUUUUUUUUUUAAACGUUGUAAAUUAAUUAUUUGAAACGAAAAACGCUUUUUAGCUUUUUAUGGCAUUUUUUUUAAAAAGCGCUGUCUUUUAUCUUUGUAUCCAAAAUUAUUUUGAUCCAAAAUCACUUCACAAUCAGUGCACACAACAACAAAACAUAUUCAAAUACCAUAAGCAGUUCACACAAUCAGUAGAACAGAAAUCAGAACUCUGUAACUUUAUUAAUAUAUAUGUAACUCUGUAACUCUGUAAUUUACAACCUAAUUAACUACAUUCAGAUACGUAUAUAUAUAUAACCUAAUUUACAACCUAAACUACAUUCAGAUCCAUAUGCAUGUUCAUAUAUUGUGUCCUAUGAUCAUUUACAUAUAAUAACUAACAGAAUAUACAUUAUAUGCACUAGCUACCAUAUAAUAUUCAGAUCCCUUGCCCAGCAGCAAGCUAUUUCCCAGAAAAUCAAAUAAUUUUCAUGUCAAGCACGUACUGACACCAUUCUUCCUUUAAUUCCAUCAGAUCUUCCUCAGAAUAUGAUGGACUGGAAUUGGCAAAGUACUGCAAUAUAAAAAUUGAACAUAUUAUAUUAAGUUAGUAUCAAAUAUAUAGAUAAUUUAUAUAUGAAAAUCAUAUAAUGCAAAUACCGUACCGUUUCUGGGAUAAUAGUUUUAUUCUUCUCAACAAUCUCCUUCAUGAAUCUCAAUACGUAGUACCCACAGUCGAUGUUAUUUGUUUGACGAGGGCACUUUAUUGAGAUCCAUGUAAUGUUAUUAGACUUCUGCUUCGACACUUUAGCACCUCUUUGAGCUCGAUAAACUUUUAAGGCACUAUCGAAUGAAUAAAUGUGAUUAUUAGAGCAUGAAUAUUUAAAUAUAUAUAUAUGUAAGAAAUAAAUGAAUAUUACUUACGUGUCGAGCAUAUUCUUUAUUCCGGGGUGAUUGGUGUAAUCGCCGUGCACGGGAUCCAAAUAGUAUAUCACUUCAGAGACCGCAUUGAUUGCAAAUAGCACCCAAUGUGCCCUACAACAACAAAAAAUUGGUUAAGCAAUUUUGUUUAUAGACAACUAAUAAAUUAAAUUCUCAUCAAUUAAAAAAGAUAAAAUUACGUACCCUGAAUUAUAUGGUGCCAAGAACAAUUUAUCACUUUCUUUAUUUCUUAAAAACAUAUCUACAAUGUAGUGUUUUACAUUGUCUGGAUCGAGUUUGAACAUCGACAUCUUAUGCGGAGACAAGAAUGAGUAUUUAUUUGACAGUUUCCUCGUGCACACGACCUUCUCGUACAAAAACCUUCAAUGAAAAUUUUAAACUAGAUUAAUUACCAAUACAUUUAAUUAAUUACAAAUAAAUGCAAUUAAAAGUAUUUUUUACCUUAUGUACAAGCUGAUUACAGUAACACUCAGCUCCUUAUGUUCGAGAAGAUCGUACAUUUGCUCCUUUUCGAGGUAUUCAAUAUACUCAUCUCCAAAGAUGUCUUGAUUCAUUUGUACAAUGGGCGAAUCGUUGCUGCUGCCCAUGUUCCUUUUUAUUUGGAUGUCAAGACACGCCCCGUAUUUACCAAGGCGUGGCUGACUUUUAUUAGGAGCAGCAGCAGCAGCGACCGAUUUUCCCCGAUCCAGAUUUUUUGUUGCUGCAAGUUUUGCAGCUUUAUUACCCUCCAGCCUUUGUAGUUUGGCAGCCCUAUUAACCUCCAAUUUUUGAGGUCUGCUGCCUUUUUUUGGCUGUAGGGGUGGUUUAUUUAUUUGGACCUACAAAAAUGAGGUAAAAUGUUAGUUUAUUGAAUCUGAAAAAAUAAAAAACCUUAGGCAAUAAAUGUGACAAACCUUUUCGGGAGAUGUAACUGAUUUGUCCUUGGGAAUCUUUUUUUCGAGGGCAACAAGGUGUGUGGGCCAUGCCACGUAACUGCCAAUAGCGUCGCUUAAGAACUUCAUAUCUCCAUCGUUGUCCGGUAUGGGCAACGGUGCAGUUGGUUCGAAAGCAACCGUAGGCGAUACUUUGACAUGGCCCGCGGGGAUCGGAAUAUUGUGCAAUACUUCUCCCGAAGUAUUGUGCAAUAUUCCUUUUCCCACCUUCCGUUGAGUCGGCGAGGACAAGUAUAGGACACAUGUAGUGACACCCUACAUCAAUAGUUAAAACAUAAGUACAGUUAAUAUAUAAGUUUGUUUAAUACAUAAGUAAUUACAUAAGCAAGUAAGUAGUAAGUAAUUAAUUACCUCGGGAAUACUCUUCAAACCGACGUUGCAACUCCCGGUUUCACUCUCCAUUUGUAUUUCAGGUUGGAGCUGAACCGGAAGUUGCUUGUCUUUAUUCGUAUUCACCAAGAGUGCCACUUGCUCCGAUAAGAUUCUGAGCUUCUCUAAUACUUCCUCGUUGGAAGGUUUUUGGCGCUUCUCUUGAGGAAAAAAGCUUUUGGGAGUUACGCCAAAUCCUUUCCCCCUCACUCGACCGGAAUACUCAGGGACAUUAAACACUUUCCCAAGAAUGUCCCUGCACGUAUCCUUGUUGCCCUCUUGAGUUUCAGAACUUUGUUCAAUAGUUUCCUAAAAUACAUGUAACAUUAAAAAGAUAAGUUCAAUAGCAUUUUUAAAAUACAAUAUUAAAAAAUAUUAAAGUGAUAAUAUACUUACACAAAGUUCUACAACUUUCUUGACAUUUUCAUUAUCAACCACUCCUUCUUUGUUAACACGCGCUUCCUUCCAUAAGAUAUGACGACCCAAGGGUUGAUCGGCUUGGGUGUCUUUUCUCUAUUCGUUAAAAUCAUAAACAAAAUAAUACAAAUUAGUUACACACUAUAGUUUAUAAUACAAAUUACAAGUGAUGUUUAAUUACUUACAAUUUUUUGUUCAAGGCGUGCAUAUCCCAUACGUGAUUUCUUGUAUGGGUGUUUUGGGUUGCUUGCCCGUUCGCGAUUUGCCGUACUAAUAUUCUAUAUAAAAAAAAAAUUGCAAUUGUGUAAAAAUUUAAAAUACGCUACGAAUAUGAAUAAUAAAACACAAAUGCUAAUAAAUUAAUAACUUACGACAAACGCCGGGUCAGAACGUUUGGAAACAAAUGCACUCCAUUCAUCCUUUGAUAUAUAAUGUUGAUAUAUCUUUGGAGGUUCAGCAUUUGUGUUUCCUUCUCUAUCUUUUAGAUAGAAAUUUGAGAGAUGGGAUCUAAAUCCACGAUGGAUUUUCCCAGCAACUCUCAAAACAUAUGACUUUCGUUCCUCAUCAAGAACAAAAGUGGUCUGCAAUGAAAACAAUUAUAAGUAAUGUAUUUUACAGAAAAAAAAUUAUAAAUGACAAAAGAGUAGAUCAAAAUAUUUACUUGAAUGUCAUUCCAGAUGAUAUCUUUGGCAUCCUUCAACGCCUUAUCUCUCCAGUUGUCUAUUGUUAUUGGGACAUUUUGACGAACAACAGCCCCAAUGUAGCUUACAAACAUGGAGCUGUUGGGGUCAACUGGCUGACCACUCUCGUUCCAGCCAACCUAAUAAACUCAUAUAGUAAGUACAUGCCCUAAACCCUAAAAAAAGAUAAAAAAACACACAGCAAACAGAGUAUAUAUAGUAUACCUCAAAUUUAAUGCCACUGCUCCGUGCUUUAAUCACCCUUUGCAUGAUAGUUGCACCACGUUUGACUUCUUUUUCGUAAGUCUUAGAGGUGCCAACUUCUUCAUUUUGAACUUCUAAAUCUUUGUUUGUAUCCAUUUAACUACAACAAGUUCAACAUGCACUUUAGUAUAACAUCAACAAGCUCAACAUGGAUCAUGCAUUAUUAUAAACAAACUCAACAUGUAUCAGUAUAUCUUAAAAAAGCUCAACAUGCAUUUUAAUGAUUACAAAAAAUUUAUAACAUCAAUACCUGAAUAAUGGUUCGAAGAAAGAUGAAAUCUAAAGAAAAGAGGGAACGCAGAAAGUUCACAGAAAUAUGGUUCAAAGAAAUAGGAUAUUGAAGAAAUACGUAAUGAGGGUUACGUAUUUCAAUGAAAAUAUAUUGUGUGAAAUGGGAGAGAUGAUCUUGGAUGGAAAUAAGGUUCGAAAUGAAGGAGAUGAUCGUGGAAAUAAGGUUCGUAAAGGACGGGAUGAUAGGGUUUGCAAAAGAAGAGAAGAAAUGAAGGUUGAGAUGACAAUACCUGAAUAAUGAUGGUUCGAAGAAAGACGAAAUGCAAAGAAAAGAGGGUUUGCAGAAAGUUCACAGAAAUAUGGUUCAAAGAAAAGAGGGAACGGUAUUGAAGAAAUACGUAAUGAGGGUUACGUAUUUCAAUGAAAAUAUAUUGUGUGAAAUGGGAGAGAUGAUCUUGGAUGGAAAUAAGGUUCGAAACGAAGGAGAUGAUCGUGGAAAUAAGGUUCGUAAUGGACGGGAUGAUAGGGUUUGCAAAAGAAGAGAAGAAAUGAAGGUUGAGAUGAUAGUGAAAGACCUCCUUGUGUUAUUAUGUUAUUUGAAUACCUUUUACAGCGCUUUUACACAUAAGCGCUCUAAAAUGUCUCUUUAUCUUAAUUUUAAGAGGCUCUUUUACAGCGCUUUUCCCAAAUAAGCGCUGUAAAAGAACUCCGUGUGUUAUUAUGUUAUAUGAAUGUUUUUUAAAGCCUUUUACAGCGCUUUUCCACAUAAGCGCUCUAAAAUGUCUCUUUAUGUUAAUUUUAAAAGGCUCUUUUACAGCGCUUUUUCCAAAUAAGCGCUGUAAAAGGCCUUAUUGUUUUUGUGUUUUGUUAUGUUAUGUUAUUUUUUAAACAAGCUCAACAUGCAUGCAAAACCCACAUAGUAGUAACUGGUCACCACAAAAAUCCCUUCCUCUUCACCAAACUCUUCUCCUUUUAUGCAUCUUCUUCACAAACAUCAAAGCUUACUCUUUCACAAUUCAAUCUCCACCUCAACACCCUUUUUAUCUCUUUACAUUCUCUUUCCUUCUUAAAUCGAAACUUAAUUGGUAUUCAGGAUCAUUGCCAUGUUGCGAAAAAUGGGUUUGUGUCUGGUGUUUUUGGGGAUUCCCAUGAUGCGUACAAGGUGUUUGAAGAAAUGGGUUUGUGUCUGAUGUUUUUUGGAUUCCCAUGAUGCGUACAAGGUGUUUGAAGAAAUGGGUUUGUGUCUGAUGUUUUUUGAAUCCCAUGAUGCGUACAAGGUGUUUGAAGAAAUUAGGUGUCUGAUGAAUAUUAUUUUUAAAGCCAUUUUACAGCGCUUUGGCAAACAAGCGCUGUAAAAUGUCUUUUUUACUCACUUUCAAAAGAGUCGUUUACAGCGCUUUGUGUGAAAAGCGCUGUAAAAGGUAUAAAACACUCAUUAUUUUAUUUUUAAAAGGAUCUUUUACAGCGCUUUUUAAGAUAAGCGCUGUAAAAUGUCUCUUUAUUUUAUUUUUGUGUUUGGUUUAUUUGGGUUGGGAUGACAUUAAAAACAUUUUUAUCAUUGUUUAUUGGAUUAAAAAUAUUGUUAUCAUUGUCUUUAUCACAAUACUUUAGGAGAUGAUGAAUUAUUAGAAAUGAGUAUUCUGAAGAAUCUAUAUAUAUAUAUGCACUGAGCAAAAGAGAAUCUCUCUAUUCAGUUCAGUUCAGUUCAUGUAAAUUACUAAUUUAUAUUCAGUUCAGUUCAUGUAAAUCAAGCUAAAUAUAAAACACUCAUUGUUACAUGAACUUGGUAUAAAACACUCAAAUCAAGCUAAAUAUAAGCAGAAAAUAAAUUAAUCAGAAAAUAAAUUAAUCAGAACUUAGUAUAAAACACUCAAUUCAGAUUACAUGCAUAUUUACAAUAACACAGUUCAGAUUACAUGCAUAGCUUAUAUAAAACAAUUAAACAUAUAUAUACAUUAAGAUGCCCUUCUUCUUUUCCUGGUGACAUUCACAUUUGUUUGUCCAUUUACAAUACGAAACGAUGGAUUAAUCCAAAUUCCCUCAUCAUGAUCAUCUCUAAGAUAUAAACCAUCAUCAGUUGAAUCAAUUUCAUGUGGUUGUUGUGAUGUUGCAAAUAAAAGAUCAUUACCAACAUCUUCAUCAUUAUUGUUAUCAUCACUUAUUUUAUUGGUCGAUAGGACAACAGACCAUUUAUCAUUAGAAGGAUCAGUGACAUAAAACACUUGUUGAGCUUGCGACGCUAAAAUAAAAGGCUCGUCUUUGUAUCCCACCCUAUUAAAAUCGACAAGCAAGAAUCCUGACUCAUCAAUCCGAACGCCAUUAUUAUUAUCGACCCACUUGCAACCAAAUAUGGGAACACGAAACAUUGUGUAGUCUAACUCCCAUAUGCGCUCGAUAACCCCAAAAUAUGAUAGAUUUGCAUAUAUUGGGUUUUUGUCUUUUGCACUUGAGACAUGCAUCGCUUCAGCUACGAGAGUGACUCCACUAUUUUGCAUAGUGGUCUGAUCAUCUUGUUCUUUGGUAUAAAAUGUGUAGCCGUUAAUAACAUAACCAGUGUAAGAAAAGACAUGUAAGCUCGGACCAUUUGCUAGCCACCUCAAUCUAUUUGAAAUUGAUCCGGGGUCUAUAUCAAAUUUUGACAUUAUGUGAUUUUUUAACCAUGUUACAAAACUUCGAUUGUGCUCUCGAGUUAUCCAAUUUUGAUUCCUAUUCAUGUUCAAACGAGAUAACUGAUCAAUGUGUAUUGUAACAUACGGUUGAACCUCAUCAUCAUUGUGCAGAACAUACAAUUGUGCCUGCUCCCAUUCUGUCCUUGAUAUAGUCAGUAGUCUCCUUCCAGUUAUCCCUUCUCCUGAUAGUCUUCCCGAAUGACGAGACAUGGGAAGCCCUAUGGAUUCAACAUUGGACAGAUAUUCAGUACAAAAUUCAGCAGCCUCUUCAACAAUGUAUCGUUCAGCAAUACAACCUUCUGGUCGACUUCUACUUUUUACGUACCCUUUUAAUAUUUUCAUAUAUCGUUCUAUCGGAUACAUCCAUCUCAUAUAAGCUGGCCCACAAAGUUGUGUCUCCUUAACCAGAUGAACAGUAAGGUGAACCAUUAUAUCAAAAAACGAUGGUGGGAAAUACAUUUCAAGCUCACACAAAGUAACAACAAUUUCCCUCUGCAAUGUCGGUAAUUUCUGAGGGUCGAUCACUUUACUACAAAUUUCCCUGAAGAAGAAACAUAAUCUAGUUAAGGCUAGUCGAACUUUUUCAGGUAAAAUGGAACGUAUACCUAUUGGUAGCAAAUGCUCCAUUAUAAUAUGACAAUCAUGGGUCUUCAAACCUUUUAACUUGAGGUCUUUCAUACAAACCAAAUUUUUAAUGUUCGAAGAGUAUCCUUCUGGAACUUUAACUUCGUGUAGAAAUUUACAUAAAACAAUUUUUUCCUUUCUAGAUAGAGUAUGAGCGGCUGGAGGUAGAUAUGUGCGAUUUCCUUUCUUUACUGGAGCCAGUUCAUUUCUUAUUCCCAUAUCGACCAAGUCCAAUCUUGCAUUGACGCCAUCUUUAGACUUUCCUGGAACAUUGAGUAACGUACCAAUAACACUUUCAAAUACAUUUUUUUCAAUAUGCAUCACAUCGAGGAAAUGUCUUACAUACAAUGACUUCCAAUAUGGCAAUUCAAAGAAAAUUGACUUUUUCUUCCACCCAGUUUUCACCAGCUCUCCCGCAAAAGGUUUGCCAAAUUUAUUGGUCAAACCUUGUACUUUUUCAAGUAUUUGAUAUCCAGUCGGUGCUAAAGGAGCUUUACCUUCCUCUGAUUUUCCAUUGAAUGCAUUUCUCCACCCACGAUACUGAUGACUAUAAGGUAAAAAUCUACGAUGUCCAAGAAACACAUUCUUCUUACAAUGUUUCAACCGCAUCCAAUUUGUACUCUCUUCACAUAUAGGACAUGCACACUGACCUUUAAUGCUAUAUCCUGAUAAAUUACCAUAUGCUGGAAAAUCAUUAAUUAUGCCGAACAACAUAACCCUUAAAUUGAAACAUUCUUUCUUAUACCCAUCAUAAACUUCCACACCUGUCUCCCACAUACUUUUUAAAUUUUCGAUUAGAGGAGUCAAGUAUACGUCGAUAUCAUUCCCCGGUUGUUUGGGUCCAGAAAUUAACAGAGACAACAUCAUAAACUUACGCUUCAUACAUAACCAUGGAGGUAGGUUAUAUAUUACCAAAAUCACAGGCCACGUGCUAUGUGAGAUGCUUUGAAGACCAUGUGGAUUCAUUCCAUCAGUAGAAAGUGCAAGUCUUAGAUUUCUUGACUCUAUCCCGAAUUCAGGAUACUCGUGAUCAAUUUUUGCCCAUUGUGGGGAAUCUGCAGGGUGUCGAAACAUUCCAUCUCUAAUUCUUUCAUCUGCAUGCCAUGUCAAGUGUUUUGAAUCUUCUUCACUGCGAUACAUGCGCCUAAAUCUUGGUAUUAUAGGAAAAUACCACACGACUUUUGCUGGAGUAGAUUCUUUCUUCUUAUAUCGAGAGACAUUGCAUUUCGGACACGCCUUAAGUAGUUCAUAUUCGUUUCGAAAUAAAAUGCAAUCGUUAGGACACGCAUGAAUCCUUUCGUAACUCAUUCCAAUAGAACACAAAAUCCGUUUAGCCUCGUAGGUCCGACUGGGAAGUUCAUUAUCAUCUGGCAACAUAUCUUUUAUGAGUGUUAAUAAUUCCGUAAAGCUUUUAUCAGACCAUCCAUUACUCGCUUUUAAGUUGUACAACUUUAAUAUCGCUGACAGUCUUGUGAAUUUAGUACAACCAUUAUAUAAUUCUUUCUCUGCAUCACUCAACAAACUUUCAAACAUUUUAGGACAAUCUCGAAGAUCUUCUUCAACUGCUUUUGCAAUCUCAUCAACUCGGUCCGGCUCAUAUGUAUCUGUAUCGAAAUCAGUUGAAGCAUAUGUAGAACUAUUCUCAAAAUUAAUGUUUCCUUUUUUUUUCUCACCAUGUCUUAUCCAACAUGUGUAGCUUUGAUCAAUUCCAUUACAUACUAGAUGUCCUUCUAAUUCAUCUUCUCUAACACGUUUUCCAAAACAACAUUUUAAACAAGGACAAACUACUCUAUUUGGAUCUUUUGCAUUCUUCACUGCAAACUCAACAAACUCCUUCACUCCAAUUUCAUACUCUUUUGACAAUCGAUUGGCUGAAAUCCAUUUCCUAUCCAUAUUAUACCACCUAUAUAAAUGCAGUAACAAAAAUAAUAAGCUUUCAAAACAUAUCAACAAGUUUCAAAAAGAAACCAAUAUCAACUAACAAUUUCAAAACAGAACAGAUCAUGUGGUAUGAGUUUUUGACAAUUUUUGACAAUUUCAAAACAUAACAGAUCAUGUGUAAAAAAUACCUUAGACAACGUAGAUGGCCGCACAGUACGUAGAGGAUAUUAGGGUUCGCAACGUAUAUAAUUAUUUGAAAGAUGUAGAGGAUAUGAGGGUUUCCAACGUAUAUAAUUAUUUUAAAGAUGUAUUUUACAGCGCUUGUGAAAAACGCGCUGUAAUAGGUAGUUAAAUUCAAUGAAAGCGCAUGUGUUUUACAGCGCUUGUGAAAAACGCGCUGUAAUAGGUAGUUAAAUUCAAUGAAAGCGCAUGUGUUUUACAGCGCUUGUGAAAAACGCGCUGUAAUAGGUAGUUAAAUUCAAUGAAAGCGCAUGUGUUUUACAGCGCUUGUGAAAAAAGCGUUGUAAUAGGUAGUUAAAUUCAAUGUAAGCGCAUGUGUUUUACAGCGCUUGUGAAAAAAGCGUUGUAAUAGGUAGUUAAAUUCAAUGUAAGCGCAUGUGUUUUACAGCGCUUGUGAAAAAAGCGCUGUAAUAGGUAGUUAAAUUCAAUGAAAGCGCAUGUGUUUUACAGCGCUUGUGAAAAAAGCGUUGUAAUAGGUAGUUAAAUUCAAUGAAAGCGCAUGUGUUUUACAGCGCUUGUGAAAAAAGCGCUGUAAUAGGUAGUUAAAUUCAAUGAAAGCGCAUGUAUUUUACAACGCUUGUGAAAAAAGCGAUGUAACUGAUACGCGAAAGCGCUUCCUUUUACAGCGCUUUUUUGACAAGCGCUGUAAAAGCCUUAUAACGUGAUGCGCAAACGUUAUAUGACCUACUACAACGCUUGUUUUACAGCGCUUUGAAUCAAAAGCGCUGUAAUAGGUUCCGUUAUUUUUAAAAUAUAAUUACAACAGCGCUUGUGUUUAGCAAGCACUGUAAAAUGGGCGCUGUUAAAUGUCAUUUUUGGCGUAGUGAAUAUAGCAAAGUGGAAGCAAAAGCAAGACAUCAAAAAAACCUUUAAAUACAUAAAGUUAGGAGAUUGUUUAUAUAACCUUUCGAAAUGGGUCUUAUUAUGUAAACAGGAGGUAGUUCACCUGUUAAUAAGAGAAACAACGUGAUUAAUAGCAAAAGACAAAAAAUUCUUUGGUAGUUUAGAGUGGAAAAUAAGUGAUCUAGUCACAUUAAGAAGAUGAGGAUGUUUCCUUUCAACAAUUAAGUUUUCUUGGGGUGUAUCAACACAAGAGGUUUGAUGCAAUAUGCUCAAACUAGAAUAAAAAAGAGGCAUAUUGAAUUCAAGACCAUUAUCAUUGCUGAUUUUCUAGACUUUUGUAUUGAAUUGUAUUUUAACAAAGGAAACAAAGUUUUGAAGGAGCAUAUGAGUUUCAGAUUUAGCAUUCAUUAAAAAUAACCAAGAAAAUCAUGAAUAAUCGUCAACAAUAGUUGGAUAAUAUUGAUGACCAUCAAAAGAAGGAACAUUAAUAGGUCCUCAAAUAUCAACAUGUAUAAGGCUAAAAAUAUGUAAAGAAACAUUUUCACUACGCGGAAAAGGGAUUUUAGCAUUUUAUGCCCAAAUAAAAAGAGUCACAAAUCAUAUUUUUAUUAACUGAAAUGUAAUAAAAUCGUUUACACAUUUGUUGUAACAGGGUUAUUGAUGGAUGACCUAACCUAAAAUGUCAAACAUCAAAUUUAUUUGGUAUAGUGGCAUUAACAAAGGUAGUAUAAUGGUGAUUAGAAACAGGAGCAAAUUCAGUAGAAAAAACCAUAGCAGAGAUAUAAUAUGAUCAAGAAUAUAAAGGCUAUUACAAUGCUCCACAUGUCCUAUCGUCUUAUGGGUAUGCAAAUCCUGAAUUGUAUAAAAAUUCUUAGAAAAUAAUAGUUUGUAAUCCAAAUCAAGAGUGAGUUUUGAAAUAGAUAUUAAACUAAAAUUGAAUUGAUGAAUAAACAACCUAUUUUUCAAGUAAAGAUCAGAAGUAAAGUAAAAAUGUCCUAAAAAAUGCGUAAGAAUAUACGACCCAUUUGGAAAAAUAAUAAAAAUUGGUUCAAUUUGUUUCAUUGAAUAAAAACAUUUGAUAAAUGGACAAACAUGAUCUGAAGCCCCCGAAUCCAUAAUCCAUAGAGAAAAAGGAUUAGAUACGAAACCUGUAUUAGAAAUACUUGAUACUACGUGAUUGGAUUAAUCUGAAAUAGAAUUCUUGGUUUCGAAAGAAGUUACAUCAACAUAUUUAGAAUUAUGUAGCAGAUUAAUCAAAAUAUUAUAAUAUGUUUUGCUAAGAUGAUUGUUGAUUGUUGGAAUCGUGUUGCUGUGUAGGCUAGGAGAGAGAAGGAUUCUUAGAACCAUUUAUUGAAGACGAAUUCAAAGAUUGUUAUUUACGAUAUCAUAGUGGAAAGCCAUGUUUGAAAUAACAUGUGUCUACAAUGUGAUUAUUCUUAUGACAUCGAGUAUAAAACAUGGAGGGCCGAGGCUGACCACGACGAUGAUGGUAUUGCCUGCGACCUUGACCUGAAUUUUUGGAAGUAUUGAUAUUAAAAACAACAUAAGUAUCAGGAGGAUUAUGGUUUGAAUUGGGGACAAGGUCUUAUUGAAAAACGAAAGAAUGCACCUUGUUAAUAUAAGGUAAAGGAUCCAUGAAUAAAAUCUGUGUGUGAAUGUUAUUGUAAUUUUUAUUCAAACCUUUAAGAAAACAAGUGAUAUACUCUUGAUGCUUGAAAUAAUGAACUGUUGUGUUGAGCUUGCAAGAACGAGGAAUAGGGCAUAUGCAUGAUUGUGUUGGGCACAAAUCCUCCAAUUCACCCCAAAGAAUCUUCACAUUGGUGAAAUAGGUAGACAAAGAAUGUUCACCUUGUUUGAUUGAAUGAAGAUCACGAAUUAGAUUGGAAAAUCGAAAAUUAUUUCCUUGAAUGAAACGAUCACGAAGAUCAUACCAUAACUCUAAUGCUGAAUCAAUGCAAAUGGAGAACGUUAAAAACUCAAUAUUGAUUUUGAUUGUGAAAACGGAGAACAUCCUUGGUUCUGGAAACAGAAAAUGGAGAACAUUCUAGGUUAAUUAAAAUCAAUAGUUUAGUUUAUAUGUUUAACUUGAUAAACAAAAGGAUUGAAAGUAAAUAGAGAUAAGAAGAUAGAUGUCACAUAAUGAUAUAUCUUAGUUCACCUAACUCAGGCUAUGUUCAGUGUAACACCCCGUUUUUCAAAGCGAGGGUAUUUUUUUUUUUUAAAAGUAAUUAAAAACGAACGAAGAAAUAAAUCAGGAAAUGCUUUUGGAUAAAUAAUUGAGUCAUUAUAAUUUACGCAGCGGAAAAGUUUCUCCAAUUAUAAAUCCAAAACAUUUUUACAUAAACAUCAAAUGGUACAUGGAACCCAUUCAAAGAUGAUAUCAAACUGAUAAUAUUUAUAUAAGUACAGUUUUCCAAAACUAAAAUACUCCAAACCAAAGAGAAGGACCCCUAGUCCCUAUACAUCAUCCUAAUCUGAUCAUCCUACCAAAAACUAUACACCCUGAGUAAUCUCCACGCGCCCCGUGAGAUCCUCCUAACACAACCGCAGUCAAGCAUUCCCAUCUCCAUCCCUGUCCGUAGGGUACGAACCAGUAGGGCCGUCCUGACUCUCAUCUGAGGGCAAAGCCCAGAUUUCCACAAUAGUGUAAAGGGUCACCAACCAGAAAAUAACAGAUAACACAUAGCAAUUAAGUUUUUGAAUGCUCAAAACAACUUUUCAACUAAGCAUGCACCUUAACAGGAUUUUCAAUGUGCGAAAAGUUCAUACAUUACAUUGCCAAUGAAAAUGAAGGUAAAAUGCAGUUCUCGAUCUCCUAAUUAACACAUGAUAAAACAAGACAUGGAUAGAUUCAUGAGCAAUAAAUCAUACAACUAAAACUGAGGAUUUUCACUGAGCCAAUCGAUUGGGCAAUCGAUUGGGGUGAAGAUUUUUAAUGAAAACAGAAUCCUGGGCUGAAUUCAAUCGAUUGGUAAAUCGAUUGAUUGGUUCCCACAACUUAACACUUAGCAAUUCCUACGCGAUUACUACGACACACGAAGGUUCGAUAACCAUCAUACUCACACACAAUACACAACACAUAGCACUUAACACCUUCAUCUCAGUUAUCACGAUAAAUCAAAAUUCGAAUCACUCAAUCAUAAACUCAAAUCAAACAUGACUCGCGUGCCAGGCACCCUAAUGCAAUGCGUAUAUGCCAAAAUGCAUGGACUCGGAAUUCCAAACCAAAACCCUCCUCGAAGGGCCGUAAAUCAUAAUUGUACCGCCUAUCGCAGGCCAAAGUACCAAUUACCGAGGUGCCACCUAUCACGGGUCAGCACGAUUUACUAAAAUGCGUAAAUCAUAAACGUACCACCUAUCACGGGUCAGUACAGUUACCAUGGUGUCACCUAUCACGGGUCAACUCGAUUUUCUAAAUAGUAACUCGUAAACGUACCACCUAUCACGGGUCAGUACAGUUUACCGAGGUGUCACCUAUCACGGGUCAACACGAUUUACUAAAAGAAAAAGCGGGAAUCGUAAACGUACCGCCUAUCACAGACCAGUACUGUUUACCUAGGUGCCACCUAUCACGGGUCAGCACAAUUCACCAAAAAUGUAAAUCGUAAAUGUACCACCUAUCACGGGUCAGUACAGUUACCAUGGUGUCACCUAUCACGGGUCAACACGAUUUACUAAAAGAAAAAGCGGGAAUCGUAAACGUACCGCCUAUCACAGACCAGUACUGUUUACCUAGGUGCCACCUAUCACGGGUCAGCACAAUUCACCAAAAAUGUAAAUCGUAAAUGUACCACCUAUCACGGGUCAGUACAGUUACCAUGGUGUCACCUAUCACGGGUCAACACGAUUUACUAAAAUGUAAAUCGCAAACGUACAACCUAUCACGGGUCCGUACAGUUUACCAAGGUGUCACCUAUCACGGGUCGACACAAUUUACCAAAUGAAAUGCAUGAGCAUACACAGACUCCAUUCACAACAAUCGUUAAGCAAAUGCAGAUAUUAAAAGAUUCCCCAUUUUUAAUACCCAUUUAACUUAAACGACUUUCAAACAACAUUAAUUAAAUAAGUCAUUAAGAGAUUCCCCGUUCUUAAUACCGAUUUAACUUAAUGAUUUUCAAAACAAAACGUUAAGCAAACAGUCAUAUUAAGAGAUUCCCCAUUCUUAAUACUCAUUUACCGAAACGAUUUUCAAAAACGAUAGUUAAGUAACCGAGACAUUAAGAGAUUCCCCAUUCUCAACGCCCAGUUAACUUAAACAUUUUCCUCAAAUACACAUUAAGUAAACCGAGGUAUUAAAAGAUUCCCCAUUUUUAAUACUCGUUUAACUCUAAUGGUUUUCAAAUUCCACAGAAACAAAUUCAAACAUACUUUCACAUUCAAACCAUAAUUCACAACAACCACACCAAUUAACAAACAUCAAGUACGAACACACCAAAUACAACGAACACAAAUCACGCAACAUAACACCCAGAUACAUCAAAUUUCAUUUACCCAUAAUCAUACACAAUGACAUUCAAAUUCAUUUACCACGAAACAUUCAUCACUAUAAACAAAACCUAACUCUAAGGUUUUUACCCAUAACGCACUAGUUUCGUUUUUCCCCAAAUCGAUACAUUUAACCCUAACAAAUUCCUUCCCACACAACUACAGAUAAGUCCCUAAUGCAAGCUAGAAGUUUGGAAGGAGCCCUUACCUCAACGUUAGCUUUAUCGUGCGUUUCCGGUACCGCGAGAAAUUCCGGUAAAAUCUCCGCUCGCAACGCCGCUUCCAAAUUAGUUCACUAGCACCGUAGCGUGGUGGUGAGCAACUUUCCCUUCUAUCUCUUCGAGAAAUGAGGUUUGGAUCUAGGAGAAACGGAGGGGUUUGUGUUUGGAUCUCAAAACCGUUUUUCUUCGUUUUCGAAUCAAAGAGGAAGAGUGGAGUUGCGAAAACCUUGAUCUAACUCACACCCGACCUUGGGUCACUAGCUUUGAAGAAAAGGAAGCAACGAAAACGAAAAAUGGAGAAGGAUGGAUUUUUGGUUUUUCACGUGAGAUGUUCAGAGGAAGGAGAUGGAAUUCGAGAUUUUCCUUCCUUUCUAUUUCUUUCCUUUGUUUUUCCUUUCUUCCUUUUUCCUUCCUUCCUUUAUAUACUAUUUUCUUUUCCUUUUCCUUCCUUCUAGUUUUCCUUUCUUUUUCCCCCCAAACAAACAUAUAUAAAUAUAAUAAAUAUAACUUAACAAAUAUCUCAAAAUCUAGAUAUUUAUUAAAUUACCGUUUCACCCGAAACGCCUUAAAUUCUUCGUAAAGGAUUUUCCGCAGUUAAAUUCAAUUUAUUUAUCGACGAGAAAUUCUAAUUGGCAUCGAAAUAUCUUUUUGAUUAGAAAACUCCAAAAUAUUAUUAACUUUGGCUUAAAAGCCUCCGAGCCAAAAUCCAAAAUAUACCAAAAAUACAUAAAAGGGUACUUUAAAAUUAUGGGUCUUACAUUCAGUCCUUACAAUUGUGAUAUUUUCCACAAAGCGUUCAAAUGGAGAAAAUUCUUGGUUUUACACAGUUUUGUUCAGAUUAACCUUGAUAUGUAACAACAAUUCAUUUCCACUUAGAAAUGAUUCAAUUAGGUCACUUAUCAAUCUUUAGAGAGGAUUUUACAAUUCACCUUUUAUCCAUAAAAAUGAUUUUCUACAAACUAUAAACAACUAUUAUAGUCUUGAGUUUACAAUAAUGAUUUAAAGAGAUUGGUAGAAUCUGAGUAUGUUCAAAUCGUGUUUGAGAAUACAUUCUUGAUAAAAGAAAUACAUAUAACGGUUCUGAUAUUUUAAAAAGAAAACAUAAUUGAAUCUUUUGUUUAUGAUUGAGAAGUUUUCAAGUAUAUAAGUGUAUGUAAGUGAUGGAUUUCUUAACACUUGAAGUUCUAUUUUUCCUUGAACUUGAGGUUCUUUUUAUAGGCUUCAAGGAGGAUGAUGACAACUACUUUGAUCUUUGGAAAAUAUCCAGCUGUCAUGUGUCAAAUUUGACAAAAUUCGAUAACUUUUAAACCAUGAAUGUUUCUUGACUAGCUUCUCAUUCUUGACCGUGAUUUAUGGUCCUUUAUGCUCAUAGACAUCUCAAAGAUGUGUUCAAUGUAUUCAGAUCGAGAAUGUCUUUGAUUCGAUCAAAACAAGCUAGAGAAGGAUGUACACAUGUUGGAGAUUGAUUGUAAAUAUGCUGGAAAAUGAUGUUAUUUGUAACAUCCCGCUUUUUCGAGACAUUAACUUACAAAAUUCUAAAUGUAAAAAUACAAAUUCAUUUUUAUUUAUUUAUGAUUAUCUUAAAUACCCAUUUACCUUAAUAUCAAUUAAUAAUAUUUUUAGUUAUAUUUUCAAAAAUAAUGAAUCAAAGUAUUUACAAUCACUAAAAGUAAAUUUAAUACGUUAAACAAAAGAAACUCAUAGAGCCAAAACUAUUGAUGUUUUACUACUCAAACAUAAAUCCUAGUUGGUAAUAAACUUUGGAGUUGUGGAAAACUCACCCAAUAAAUCUAACACCCCACAAAAGUACCUCAAAACCUCCAACUAUAUACUUCCUCGCAUUUCUCCUAUUAGGUUGACUAUAAGCUCAAGUAACACUAUAUGUGACGUCGUGUCAAAUGUAAGGGUCAUCUCUAAAAUAUUUUACCAAUAAAUAAAUAACAAUCAAAAUAAAACAGUACAUUACCUACUCAGCCAACAAAAAGGUACAAUAACAAUGAAAAUAUAACAGUACAAUGUUUACAUAAUUAAUAACAUUAAUUCACUCAAACGACCACCUACAGUGACGAUACGAAUAUAACAUUACGAUAUCUACAUAAUUAAUAACAUUAAUUCAUUCAUCCAAACGACUACGAGGUACAAUAACAAUAAAAAUAUAACAGUACGGUUAUAUUUUAUAAAAAUGAAGUGAUUAAUUUUAUAAAAAUGUCAUAGAUAAAUUAUUAGGAGUGCAACAAGACAAUCAAUAUCACCAAAUGAAUGUGUUAUUAUUUUAAUUUUCAAUGAAAAAUUAAUUGUUGUUUUUUAAGUUUAUUUUUUAAUUAAUAUAAUAUACCUUAUUCUUAAGUUACAAUGAGAAAAUAAUGUUACAAUGAGAAAAUAAUAUCUAAUGGUUGGGUGAUGAGUACUAAAUGACAAAAACUAAUUUUUUUGCCUAAAACAAACAUGACAAUUUUAGUGAUAAAAAUUAAUGUAGCGAGUUGAACAAAAUAAUAUGACAUGUAACAUUGUAAUCAAAAGGCAAGUUUAAGUGAAAGAUGGUUCAUCAUAUAUAAGUAGACCAUACUUUAUUUAACAUAGUAAGUGGGAAACAAAACAAUUCAUAGAUGCAUGUUUCUAGUUUUCAUGGAGAUUCCAUGUUUCCAUGUCCUCUUUUCCUACCUUUGUCUCCGUUAUCGGGGUUUCCUCGAUUGUCGUCUUCUUCAACGGGUGGCUCACUAUUGCCGUAUCCCAUGCCACCGCCACCAUAGUUGUAUGCCAUGCCCUGUACCCAUUCUGAUGCCCAACCCAAUGCCAAAUCUCUCAAAGUUCUCCAAUCUACAAACCUUCUUAUUAAAGUACUAUAUUCGGUUUCCUCAGCUGUCACAAUAGUCAUAAGAAGGGGAACACACAGAAAGAAUACUAAGAUAAAAAAUUUUGUUUUCAUCCUUGCUUAAAUUUCCUAAAGUUUGUUGUAAAAUAUGAAUAAUAUCCUCAAAUAUUUAUAGUGGUCACGCAUAGAAAAAAUAAGAUAAUUUUAAAAGACAAAAACAUAUUGAAGAAAAAUAUAUUGCGUACUAAAAAAAAAGACAAUAUGUAUUCCAUGGCCAAUUGUGAAGACAAUGGGUCAUCAAAAUCCAUAGAGACAUGGAAAGGUUAAAUAAAUUAGAACAUGUUUGCCUUUUGGAUCAUGAUAAUUUGAGGAUUAAAGAGACGUUUUAUCCGAUUAAUCUUUUCUAAAAAGUUGCUUUUGGUUAAAUUGUUUCGGAAAAUAGAAUUUAAAACUAGCGAGUUGUAAAAUUUGGCUUCCUAAUAAAUUUAGGAUUAAAGAGAUGUAAUAUUCAAUUAAUUCUAGACGAAUGAUUUAUUUUGACUAUUAGAUGUAUUAAUAUUGGAUUAUUAAAUUUUUAGUUUCUAAAAAGUUUUGAAAUUUUAUUUUUAGUACUUAUUAAAAAAAUUAUAUUUUUUAGUUUCUACAAAAUUAUUAUGUAAACAGUUUAAUUUAUACCAUAUUGGAACAUCAAUAUAAAUAUUUAAAUACUUUUUUUUUGCAUACAUGCUAACAUUAUAAAAAGUUCUACAUAAAUAUCAAAAUUCAAUUUCUAAAUCUAUAUUUUAAAGACUUUUAUCUUAAAUAUAAGAUGUUUAAUUAAUUCAUCCCAAAUAAAAAAAAUUAAAAUUAAUGUGAAUUAAUUUUUAAGAAUAUUCUAAACAGGCUUACAAAAUAUUAUUCAAAAAUUUAAAAGUUGAAGAAUAUUUCAUUUCAUCAAAGACUAAAAUAAUUUGAUUAAUAAUUUUAUAGGAAUUAAAAAAAUGUAUGCAUACAUAAAAAAUAAAAAUAAAUUAUCAUCUUUUUAUCUUAGUAAGGGGUCUAGGAACACAACUAAAACAAAUCAGACGAGAACUUCUCGUUGAAUUAAUUAGAAAUAACUUAUAUUUGGUGUUGGUUAGCAUCCUUCUAAUCAGCUGUUGGGGGCAUUCCUUGUGCCUUCAUUUUAUUGAAUGGAUUUUUCUAAAAUGGAUUUUUCUUUGUUCAAAGAAGAACAAACCAUUGUUGAGUGUUUGCCGUCAUAACCAAUUAUUAAAAUAGAGUAAUAUUAAUGGAAAUGCACAAUUGCUCCUACGAUCCCUUAACUUAAUUUUAAAUAAUACUUUCAUUUUUUUUAUUUGGUCUUUUAUUUAAUAUUAUUACAAAAAUUCGAAAAUAUAAAGAAUGAAAAUAUGAGUUUAUUGGAAUAUUUAAGUUAUUUCAUCGACGUUGUUUCAAUAAAUUAUGAUCUCAUCAACAUAUAUCAAAAUAGAUUUAAUGAAUAAAGAAUGAUAUGAAUUAGAUUGAGUAUAUCCUUUUGAAAUGAGAGUAGAGGAAAGUCUAGCAAACCAUUGCUUACUAGACUGUUUUAAACCAUAAAGAGGUUUUUGAAGUUUACAAACAAUAUUUGGAUUAUGAGCCAAUAACCCAUGGGACAAUUGCAUAUAGACUUCCUCUUCUAAAUUGUCAUGUAAAAAAGCAUUGUGAGCAUCUAACUUAUGAAAAUGCCAAUUAUGAGAUGAUACAAGAGCAAGUAAGAGUCUUACGAUAAUGAGCUUAGCUAAAGUGAAUAAGUAUCAAAAUACUCAAUUCCUUCAAUUUGGUUAAAACAUUUGGCAACAAGGCGUUCCUUAUAACGUAUUAUAGAACCAUCAACGUUAUAUUUUACCUUAUAAACUCAUCGACAACCUAAGGGCUUUUUAACACGUGGCAACUCAGUAAGAGUCCAAGUGUUGACUGAUCGAGUAGCUGAGAUUGCAUGGUCUGAACCUAAUUAUUGUAUGUGACAACUUGUUGAAAGCUAGUAGGGUCACGAACAGUAGAAAUAAAGGAAAAAUAAAUGAUAGAAAAAAUAUGACAAUUUUGACUAAGAUAAGACCUGAUAUAAAUGAUACAAUAUAUAGGACUUAUGGCGCCUAUCAUGUGCAAAAUUACACUCAAAAUCUUGUAAGUAAGCAGGGACCUUGUUAGACCUUGAAGACCUACAAAUAGUAUCUUGAUGCUCAUCAAAAUCAAAGAUAAGGGAAGUAUGUAAAUUGUUGGGACUAGUAUCAAGACUAGAUGAAGGAGUUGGAGCAAACAUAAUACUAUCAUCAGUGGAGUUAUUAACAUAAACAAUUAUUAGGCAAAAGCAUAUUAGUAUCAUCAAACAAAAUAAAGGAAUCAUGAGAAUCAUCAUUAAUAUGCAAGGAAGUAGAAUUAAGAUUAACAUAUGCAAAAACAUGUUCAUAAAAAACUACAUUCCUAGAAACAAAGGUGACAUGAGUAUGUAAAUCAAGCAUCAAAUAACCUUUAGUUCCUUAUCUAAAUCCAAGGAAAAUACACUUGGUAUCCCUUGGAUCAAGUUUAGUUCUAUGAUGAAGCAAAGUGGAAGCAUAAGCAAGACAUCGAAAAACCAUUAAAUACAUAAAGUUAGGAGAUUGUUUAUAUAACAUUUCGAAAGGGGUCUUAUUACGUAAAACAGGAGGUAGUUAACAUGAUAAUAAGAAAAGCAACAUGAUUAAUAGUAGAAGACAAAAAAUUCUUUGGUAGUUUAGAGUGGAAAAUAAGUGAUCUAGUCCCCUAAUCCAUAAUCCAUAGAGAAAAAGGAUUAGAUACGAAACUUGUAUUAGAAAUACUUGAUACCAUGUGAUUGGAUUGAUCUGGAAUAGAAUUCUUGGUUUCGAAAGAAGUUACAACAUGAUAUUUAGAAUUAUGUAGCAGAUUAAUCAAAAUAUUAUAAUAUGUUUUGCUAAGAUAAUUGUUGGAAUCGUGUUGCUAUCUAGGUUAGGAGAGAGAAGGAUUCUUGCAACCAUUUGUUGAAGACGAAUUCGAAGAUUGUUUUUUACCAUAACUUAGUGGCAAGCCAUGAUUGAAAUAACAUGUGUCUACAAUGUGAUUAUUCUUAUGGCAUUGAGUAUUAAACAUGGAGGGCCGAGGUUGACCAUGAUGAUGCGAGAAUUUCCCGUGACCUUGACCUGAAUUUUUGGAAGUAUUGAUAUUAAAAAAAAAAACAUAAGUAUCAGGAGGAUUAUGGUUCGAAUUGGGGACAAGGUCUUAUUGAACAAAGAAAGAAUACACCUUGUUAAUAGAAGGUAAAUGAUCCAUGAAUAAAAUCUGUGUGUGAACGUUAUUGUAAUUUUUAUCCAAAACUUUUAGAAAACAAGUGAUAUACUAGCUUGCAAGAACGAGGAAUAGGGCAUAUGCAUGAUUGUGUUGGGCACAAAUCCUCCAAUUCACCCCAAAGAAUCUUCAAAUAGGUGAAAUAGGUAGACAAAGAACGUUCACCUUGUUUGAUUGAAUGAAGAUCACGAAGGAGAUAGGAAAAUCAAAAAUUAUUUCCUUUAAUGAAACGAUCAUGAAGAUCAUACCAUAACUCUGAUGGUGAAUCAAUGCAAACGGAGAACGUUAAAAACCCAAUAUUGAUUUUGGUUGUAAAAACAGAAAACGAAGAACAUCAUUGGUUCUCGAAACAGAAAAUGAAGAAUAUUCUAGGUUAAUUAAAAUCAAUAGUGUAUAUAUUUAACUUGAUAAACAAAAGGACUGAAAGUAAAUAGAGAUAACAGGAUAGAUAUCACACAAUGAUAUAUCUUAGUUCACCUAACUCGGGCUAUGUUCAGUCCUUACAAUUGUGAAAUUUUCCACUAAGCUUUCUAAUGGAGAACGUUCUUGGUUUUACACAGUUUUGUUCAGAUCAACCUUAAUAUGUAACAACAAUUCAUUUCCACUUAGAAAUGAUUCAAUUUGGUCACUUAUCAAUCUUUAGAGAGGAUUUUACAAUUCACCUUUUAACCAUAAAAAUGAUUUUCUACAAACUAUAAACAAUCCUUAUAGUCUUGAGUUUACACAAUGAUGAUUUAAAGAGAUUGGUAGAAUCUGAGUAUGUUCAAAUCGUGUUUGAGAAUAUAUUCUUGAUAAAAGAAUUCAUUAUAACAGUUCUCAUAUUUGAAGAAGAAAACAUAACUGAAUCUUUUGUUUAUGAUUGAGAAACUUUCAAGUAUAUAAUUGUAUGUAAGUGAUGGAUUUGUUAACACUUGAAGUUCUAUUUUUCCUUGAACUUGAAGUUCCUUUUAUAGGCUUCAAGGAGGUUGAUGACAACUACUUUGACCGUUUGAAAAUAUCCAAGUUGUCAUGUGUCAGAUUUGACCAAAUACCAUAAUUUUUAAAUCAUGAAAGUUUCUUAACUAGCUUCUCAUUAGACCAAAGGUUUCUCUCUCAUGAACCGAUGACAGGGUUGAGGAACACAAGAUUUUACAGCUAUGAAGACCUCAUUCUCAUCCCUUUAACAUAAAACAAUUAUAACAAACGAAGAAAAAACAACAACUUCCAAUUUUACAUGUUGGAUCAUCUCCCACAUUCCAACCCCUUGCCACACCGCCACACUUCAAGGGUCAUCCAAAAAAAAUUUCAAUUUAUUUCUGCCUCAUUAAAACACCAAGCACAAUACUUCUAACCAAAAAAAGGAAAAACUCCUAAAAGUGAUGUUUAUUUACGAAAAAAAUGAUUAUUUUUUAAAAAAACUUGUAAUAAAUAGGUACACUUUAUUUUCUUUUAAUUAGAAAUUUAAAAAUCAAACCAUUAACCUGACGAGCUGAAUAAACUAAUACAAUCCAAACGAAUUAAAUUAAUUUAUUUUGUAUUGGAGUCCAAAAUAUAUUAAAUAAAUCCUACUUCUAUUGGUUCAUAAAUCCUACUUUUAUAAAAUUGUCAUAGAUAAAUUAUUAGGGGCGCAACAAGACAAUCAAUGUCACCAAAUGAAUGUGUAAUUUUAAUUUUCAAUGAAAGAUUAAUUGUUGUUUUUUAAGUUUAUUUUUUAAUUAAUAUAAUGUACCUUAUUCUUAAGUUACAAUGAGAAAAUAAUGUUACAAUAAGAAAAUAAUAUCUAAUGGUAUUGGGUGAUGAGUACUAAAUGACAUAAAGUAAUUUUCUUGCCUAAAACAAACAUGACAAUUUUAGUGAUAAAAAUUAAUGUAAACACUAGAUGGUUCAUCAUAUAACAGUAGACCAUACUUUAUUUAACAUAGUAAGUGGGAAACAAAACAAUACAUAGAUGCAUGUUGCUAGUUUUCAUGGAGAUUCCAUGUUUCCAUAUCCUCAUCUCCUACGUUUAUUACCAUUUUCUCCUUCACCUUCGUCUUCAAUGGGUCCCUCACUAUUGUCGUCUUCUUCAACGGGUGGCUCACUAUUGUCGUCUUCUUCAACGGGUGGCUCACUAUUGCCGUAUCCCAUGCCACCAUAGUUGUAUGCCAUGCUCUGUGCCAAUCCUGAUGCCCAACCCAAUGCCAUAUCUCUCAAACUUCUCCAAUCUAUAUACCUUCUUAUUAAAGUACUAUAUUCGGUUUGCUCAGCUGCCACAAUACUCAUAAGAAGGGGAGCACACAGAAAGAACACUAAGAUAAAAAAUUUUGUUUUCAUCCUUGCUUAUAUUUCCUAAAAUUUGUUGUAAAUUAUGAAUAAUAUCCUCAGAUAUUUAUAGUGAUCACGCAUGGGAAAACUAAGAUAAUUUUAAAAGACAAAAACAUAUUAGAGAAAAAUAUAUUGCAUACUAAAAAAAAGACAAUAUGUAUUCCAUGGCCAAUUGGGAAGACAA